AUUGAACGCUGGCGGCAGGCCUAACACAUGCAAGUCGAGCGGAUGAAGGGAGCUUGCUCCUGGAUUCAGCGGCGGACGGGUGAGUAAUGCCUAGGAAUCUGCCUGGUAGUGGGGGAUAACGUCCGGAAACGGGCGCUAAUACCGCAUACGUCCUGAGGGAGAAAGUGGGGGACCUUCGGACCUCACGCUAUCAGAUGAGCCUAGGUCGGAUUAGCUAGUUGGUGGGGUAAAGGCCUACCAAGGCGACGAUCCGUAACUGGUCUGAGAGGAUGAUCAGUCACACUGGAACUGAGACACGGUCCAGACUACUACGGGAGGCAGCAGUGGGGAAUAUUGGACAAUGGGCGAAAGCCUGAUCCAGCCAUGCCGCGUGUGUGAAGAAGGUCUUCGGAUUGUAAAGCACUUUAAGUUGGGAGGAAGGGCAGUAAGUUAAUACCUUGCUGUUUUGACGUUACCAACAGAAUAAGCACCGGCUAACUUCGUG
rnacentral:rRNA from 1 species